AAUAGAUUAUCGUGGUCUCACACCAGAUAUUGGGCCCAGUCGUUUUUGUUUUCACAUUCAUUUUAAAUUGUAUCGCAUGAGCAUGAUAUUGAUUUUCAUAGAAUUUAUUUACUGAACAUUUCAUAUACGUGUGUUGGUUCAUUCAUUUUCAUUUGUCGGUAUUUUUGAUUAAUUUCGAGCGGAUAUCUGUUGUUGUUGUUGUUGUUGUUGUCGACGCAAAUUUCACCGUAUCUCUCUGAAAAUCGCCCACCAUUGUGUACCAAUUGAAUGUAACAAGCACUCGAAAUAUCAAGUAUACCAGUUGUUUGAAUCUGCCAGUAGGCAGCAUAUGUAUGUAUGUAUCGCUCCCGUUUUCCAUCUUCACCAUAAUCAGCAGGAAUUGAAUGAAAAAUGUGUCAAACAUCAAGUAGAUCGCCGAUCGUUGUAUGGAAAAUGAAAGCACCGGAAAAGAAGCCACUUGUGCGUCCCGAGAAACCGGAAGAAGUUCGAGCCAAAGUAAGGAAAGGAUCGCAGAAGAAAGUUCAAAAUCCAAUUCACGCCCUGUCGGAAUUCCAGAGCCCAAACGAUGCCGUUUAAGCACAUUAAAUUUAUAGAAAUGACAUUCGUUAUUAAGCAACGAGAUGGAAAAAAGAAGAAGAAAAAAAAACCAUAAUUAGCAAACACUUAUUCCCCUCCCUCCUCAAUUUCGAAGUAUUUUUUUUUAUUUUCGUUCGUAAUUCAUAUUCGAUAAAUGAUGUGAAAUAAAUCUUAUGUUAAGAAUGAAUCUUCAAUCAUCGCCAAAAUUAUCAAUUGAACAAUUACAAAUAUUGUUCAUUCAAUUAAUUUAUGAGACACCAUGCAAAACACCGUUUUUUUUUCUAUUGCUACCAAUUUUUAACCAACAACUAAGAAAUCUCUCGGCAACAUUGCUCAUUUCAAUGAAACGAAAACAAUCAUUUAAACACAGAAGAGAGUAGGAGUUGUUGGCAAUUUUGCGAAGAUUGUGGCUUUGGAUUUUCGGCACUCUAAUUAAAUACAAUAAAAUAGGAGCAUCUAGUUAAAAAAUGCAUGUAGGAUUUUAUAUCGCGCGAUUAACAGUGCCGAAAAUCAUUCACAAUACCAUUUUGCAUUUCGACAACAAAAAAUGCCCGACAACAUUUGUUUUUAGAAACGUUCUACUUAAAUUAUUAUUGUAGAACAAAAUUCAACUCUUUUUUUUUUUAAUUCAUUCAUUCAAUUUUUCAAAUGAAGUGAUUUUUUUUUAUUGUUGUAAGAGACAAAAGUAAGGAAACGAUGAAGUAUGAACAGUAUCGACAUUUUAGAGAAUCUAUUUUAUUUUAUUUUAUAAUUUUUUUUUCUGUCGAGAAAAUUAGGUUAGUUAAACUUAUUGGCUUUGUUUCGGAAAUCGAAACAUGGAAAUGUGAAUCGAACAUAAAAACAUCAAAACACAGACGAAAAACAACCAGAAGACACACCGACACACACACACACACAGUCCUAACAAAUUAUUUAUUUGCGUUAGACAAAUAGUGAGAAUGAACAGUACUGCAACGAAAUACAUGAUAAUCUAUCGAUCCACUUUUUUAUAUCGAACUUUUUCAAAUGUGUUUUUAAUGAAAGAUGAAAGAAAAACGAAUGAAUGACAUAAAAAGAAGCAUUCCCCAAUCCUGCAUUUAAUAUAAAGACGAUUAGCAACAACAAACAGAGACAGAGAAAAAAUCGAGAAUUAUUAAGAGUGAAGAAGUUGUUAAGGAAUUUGAAGGGGCAAAGAUUCAUGCGUAUGCGCUAACGUCCACGGCCACAAAAUCCCGAUUUGAUUUAGCUCUUGGGCAUCGCAUUCAGAAUAGAAAACGAAUAAAAAACAACAAUAUGAAUUGAUAUUAUAAAUGAUAUAAAUGAUUAUAAUAAUUGCCAAAUAUAUAUUUAAAAAAGUAAACUAUCUAUCAGAAGGAAAAAAAAAUGAGAAAAAGAGAGGCGCAGUUCUUGUUGAGUCCGAUGGAAUUUGGUAUUUUAGCAACAACAAAAAAACAAACGCCCUCAUGUGUAAUCCCCUGAAAAAGUAUAACGGCAGCUGCAUAAAUGUGUCGAAGUAAAGCACACAUUGCCAAUUCAUCAAACUUAAUAAGAGGUUUGCCUCUCGCCAUCCAAUUCACAUGAAAAGGAUAUUCAACGAUAACACAAACACACACACACAAAACUAUUCGUAUAUUAUAUAAUGUUUCAUUUGUUUCAAAUAGAGACAAUGACCGUUUCGUCUCAUCGCUCUUUCCAUACACGUGGUCACGAUGCAGCCACGAUGAUGACGACGACGAUGACGAUGAUGGUCAUCAUAUUUAUAGAGAAAGUGUCGAAUAAUUAAUAUUUGGAAUGAAAAUUUAUUGACCGUGAAUAAAAAGUAUAUUUGAUGAGAAAUCGAUAAAAAAAAAAUUGAAUAUUAUUAGUUGUUAGAGAGAUAAAGAUAUGGUAAAAAAAAAUAAUUAACUGGAUAAAAAAAAACAAACGAGACACAAUGCAAUUUGAACCAUUUUACUUUUGUGGUGUGAACAAUUGAUCCGACUGUUUAGUGCACUCGAUUUGCACACCGCACUGCCGUGAUUCAUCGGCAUUUUAACCGGUUUGAGUUUUCACUUUUCGGUCUUAAUGUACACAUGUUGGACCGAAGGUGAAUCGUUGAUAGAGAUUUAUGAAUGUUUAAAUGACGAGCAUUAAUUUCUGCGCCUAAUCAAUUUAUCGAAACAUUUUUUUAGACAUAUUUACUACCGCAACAAAGCCUAUUUCAAUUCAAAAUGAUCCAUUUGUCUGUAAUUGGCAUUUUGCUUUGAUUUUUUUUCUAAUUCAAUUGAAAUUUUUGGAUUCAAAUUAACGAAAGCACGCAUAUAUAUAUUUAUACAUAUUUUUUCUCUCGUUCUUUUAUUUGAACACAUUUUUCUGCACCAAUAAUUUUUUUUUUUUCUUUAUUCAUAUUGCAAAUGAUUCAAUUCAUAUUAUCAUCAAAUUUUGUAUUAUAUUUAAAAUGCAUCCUCACAAAUGCACACAAAUUGUGUUUGAGUUUUUUUUUACAUGAAUUUUAUUCUAUUUUUUCAUUUUGUUUAUUUGAAAAAUAAAUCUGUAAUAAUUGUGAACAAAAUCGAAAUAAACACUGAUGAACUGAGAAAA